ensembl:lncRNA ADAMTS9-AS1 ADAMTS9 antisense RNA 1
UGUUGGUCAGUUGGGCACAUCUGCACACAUUUACAAUAUCUGCCACCUCUUUUAACCCUCAACCCCGCCCCACAAAAUGAGUGAUGGUGCUUGUUGAUUUGCAGAUUCACAGUCUGGUGAGACAAGUUUGAGAUCUCAUAUUUUCAGCUCAUCCUUGAAAACCUUUCUUCGAUUUGACUGACCUUGAUGGCUCCCUGGAAUCUCACCUACAUUUUAUGGGAAAUUCAACUCUCCAGAGAGAAGAGCUUUCAGAUAGCUGCGGGACUUGCAACUGUGACUUUCAGCUUUCGCUUUUGAAUGAGGCUCCAAAUGUCUCAAUGGUGGCACUAUUUCCAGAUUUGGGAACUUCCUCCCUGACAUUAUGUCCAUGACCCUGCACCCUGCGGGGGGCUCGGAUAUGUUACGUCUGAUUCAAAGACAACCAAAAAGAAGGAAAUAAUGAUUUCACCAAGAAAGGACACAUACCAAGGCAGGAAUAGAGCCCUGCAAAGCUAAUCUGCUCAACCUUCACCUACUGGGUUCAAUGAAUAUGAAAAGCUGCCUUCCUGAAACUUUUCCUUCAAAGAGGGAAUGAUCUCCUGGAAUUCAAGCUUCUACAAGAGAACUGUGUGCAGGCCCAAGGAGAACAACUACAUGAAAUAAACCUUAUGUUUUCAGU